AGGGCUGCAGCAUAGCUUGGUGGCGCAUUUGUUUUGGGUACAAAUUGUGCAGGUUCAAAUACCGUCAUCCCUA
rfam:Vigna angularis cultivar Jingnong 6 scaffold149_35, whole genome shotgun sequence.